UUGCCUAGGGCCAGUAUUACCCCUAGGCAACUUCUGUGACAUGUGACA
rnacentral:ncRNA from 1 species